GAUGAACGCUGGCGGCGUGCUUAACACAUGCCAGUCGAACGGAAAGGCCCAAGCUUGCUUGGGUACUCGAGUGGCGAACGGGUGAGUAACACGUGGGUGAUCUGCCCUGCACUUCGGGAUAAGCCUGGGAAACUGGGUCUAAUACCGGAUAGGACCACAUUUUGGAUGGUGUGGUGGAAAGUUUUUCGGUGUGGGAUGAGCUCGCGGCCUAUCAGCUUGUUGGUGGGGUAAUGGCCUACCAAGGCGUCGACGGGUGGCCGGCCUGAGAGGGUGUACGGCCACAUUGGGACUGAGAUACGGCCCAGACUCCUACGGGAGGCAGCAGUGGGGAAUAUUGCACAAUGGGCGCAAGCCUGAUGCAGCGACGCCGCGUGGGAGAUGACGGCCUUCGGGUUGUAAACUCCUUUCGCUAGGGACGAAGCGUUAUGUGACGGUACCUGGAGAAGAAGCACCGGCUAACUACGUG
rnacentral:rRNA from 1 species